rnacentral:rRNA from 1 species
AAAUGAAUUGACGGGGGCCCGCACAAGCGGAGGAACAUGUGGUUUAAUUCGAUGAUACGCGAGGAACCUUACCCAGGCUUAAAUUGCAGUGGAAUAUAGUUGAAAGGCUAUAGCCGUAAGGCCGCUGUGAAGGUGCUGCAUGGUUGUCGUCAGCUCGUGCCGUGAGGUGUCGGCUUAAGUGCCAUAACGAGCGCAACCCUUAUCGAUAGUUACUAACAGGUCAUGCUGAGGACUCUAUUGAGACUGCCGUCGUAAGAUGCGAGGAAGGUGGGGAUGACGUCAAAUCAGCACGGCCCUUACGUCUGGGGCUACACACGUGUUACAAUGGGGGGUACAGAAGGCAGCUACUGGGUGACCAGAUGCUAAUCCCAAAAGCCUCUCUCAGUUCGGAUCGAAGUCUGCAACCCGACUUCGUGAAGCUGGAUUCGCUAGUAAUCGCGCAUCAGCCACGGCGCGGUGAAUACGUUCCCGGGCCUUGUACACACCGCCCGU